rnacentral:rRNA from 1 species
AUUGAACGCUGGCGGCAGGCCUAACACAUGCAAGUCGAACGGAGCGGUGGACGGGUGAGUAAUGCCUAGGAAUCUGCCUGGUAGUGGGGGAGAAUGACUGGAAAAGGGCGUUAAUAACACCUACUACCAGCUGAUCCUAGGUGGGAUUAGCUAGUUGGUGGGGUAAAGGCCUACCAAGGCGACGAUCCGUAACUGGUCUGAGAGGAUGAUCAGUCACACUGGAACUGAGACACGGUCCAGACUCCUACGGGAGGCAGCAGUGGGGAAUAUUGCACAAUGGGCGAAAGCCUGAUCCAGCCAUGCCGCGUGUGUGAAGAAGGUCUUCGGAUUGUAAAGCACUUUAAGUUGGGAGGCGUUACCCACAGAAUAAGCACCGGCUAACUCCGUGCCAGCAGCCGCGGUAAUAC